AUGCAAGUUGUUUCUCCAGAAAAGCUUAUGACUUCUAGUUUGGUUGCUCCCGAUGUCUCUGUCCAGUUUGGAGACUAUAAAUUUCUGUCCUCUCCAAUUGUUCUUGGUGACAAUGAUAUUGAUCUAAUUCUCGGGAUGGACUGGCUUUCUAACCACAAGGCUCCGCUUGAUUGUGCUGCCAGAGAAAUUCAAUUGACACACUCUUCUGAGGAAGUGAUCAUCUAUGCCGCUCGUGACGAAACCAUUCGACUAUUUUCUGUCAAUGAGAAGGGCGAGUUGAAUGCCAUCUGUCAUAUUCCAGUCGUUUGUGAAUAUCAAGACGUCUUUCUAGAAGAGCUUCCAGGAAUACCUCCUCACCGGCCAGUUGAAUUCGUCAUCGAUCUUGAGCCUGGCACGGAACCUGUUUUCAAACGUCCUUACGAG
rnacentral:rRNA from 1 species